ACCAAACGACCCCUAUCCGCACCCCCUUUCUCUCUCUUUCCCUUUCCUCGCAAACCCUAAAGCCGCCGCUACACCCUCUCUUGCCAAAAAUGACAUUUUGACAAAGGACACAGAGGUUGCAUAGCUUUUGCAUAACCAUUUGAGUGAAACAAUUAAUGUUUCCACUUCAAAUUCGCUUCUCUCAUACCAAACAUGUGUGUGUGUGGCUGAGCUUGAUUUUGGAAGCACAAAGAAGGCUCCAAGUCCAUUCUUGCUCCGAUUGCACCCCAAAAAGAAUCAACAGGCGUUUCAUUGAUGAUGCGAUCGAAUCCAAUGCAAGGAAAAAGGAAGAAAGUAUUAUAAAUAUAUUGAAGGCCUAGCCAUGGGUGAAAAUGGCCAAUUUGGGGCGAUUUUCACGACCUUCUUAAGGUUUCACUACCGUGCUAAUUCAUGGCGAUUUUGGGAUCAUUUUUGCUAAUUCUUUGAGGGGUUUUGUUAUUAACCAUGUGUAAUCAUGGUUUCCAGGUUCAGUUCCCUUCGAAUUUCAUUUUUUACUAUCUAAAUUGAUCCUUACCUAGGUUGUUACUCGGGUUUUUGUUGUGUUAAGGUUGCCAUGGGUGGGGCCUCGAGCCCUUAGCCAUCUUUUGCACCUGAACAACUUAAAACAAAAACCUAGGGGGAAGUUCCUAGAAAUUUCCUAAAUUAGGGUACACAAAUUGGGAAUUUUAUCCCCAUUGUACUAUUUAGUACGAUUGUACCAUUGGAAUGGUACAAUAUAGGCUGUAUUCAUACUAUCCUAAAUUUUUAGAUUUUUAUUUGAUGUUUUGAUAGAUUUUAGGGUACAAUUGGUUGUGAUUUUGUUGUCCUAUGGGUGAGAAUUUCGAAUUAUCUGAUAUAAAGUACAAAAUUUAAGGUUUUGGGGGGGAAAUUUUAAGAUGAGGCGUCCAUUUCUAUCCUAGGAUUCCCUAAUUUUGUUAAGUCUAUAAAUAGUAAGUUGAGAAGUUGAAAUAAAUACCUUGGACCUUGACCUUUUUUUUUUUUGAAAACUUGAGAGGAAAAACUGAAAAUAUAAGAGUGAUACAAAAAAUAUACACUAUCGACAUACAUAUACAAAAACAGUCUACAAAAAUACUAUAGAUAUAUACUAAUAUUCACUCAAUAUACAAAUAGAUAUAUAAGAAGAAGCAAAUAUAAGAAAGAGGUUUUGGAAGACAAAAGAGGGUUUUUGAUUACUUGAAGUUGAUUUCAACCCCUUUUUGGUCCUUAGGUUGCCUCUACAAAAGGUAAUCCCUUUUUCAAACUACUUUACUUUCAAUUUUGAAUACUUACUGUUUUAUUGCUUAUUCAUUAUGCAAAUGUUAUGAACUGUUGUUUCUUACUUUGUUAUAAUAAGAUUAUGUUUUAGUUUGAAUGUCUAAAGUUAUAGAAAAAUAAGUUAAAAAUCUAGAAUAUGAUAGUAUUAAGUAAGUUUAUAACUUGUUAGGUUCAUAAAAUGAGGAAAAAAAAAGUUAAAAGGUUGGGGGUGAGGGGGUGGGGGGGGGUAUAGUCUUAAGUUCUAUAUUGUGGUUUGAAAUCUGGACAUUUGGUUUGUUUCAUUAAAUCAGUGUUAUGCAGUUAUCAGUUUUAGUUUAAAUGAGACUAUUUUGAAGUCUAGAAGUAGGUUGUAUAGUAUUAGGCUUAGUUCUGUUUAAGCGGGUUGAAUGUAAUCAUUAGUUGCUAUUUGGAUUCAUUCUAUCGUAAUAUACUUGUUUGAGGUAUGAAAACUGUUUUGAAUUGAUAACUUCCUUCCUAAAAAUGAAUUAGAGAAUCACUUGUUUACUUUGAAUGCAUUUUUGUGAAAAAGUGGCUACUUGAAGUUGUUUGUAUUGUUGAUCAUAUUUUGUUCCUAUUUUACUAUUCUAAAACUAUUGAAACAUGACCCCUAAAGGUUAAGAGGUAAAAUGAACCUAUUUGGACCUUAAAAUGUUAAUUGUAGUAAUAUGUUGUUGUAACUUGCUACUUGUUUGUGUCCAUCGAAUCUAGAAUUCCAAAAACUGAGUGGGAACCUCAUUUUUCAGUGACAAAACUACUUGAACUUUGCUGUUUUGUAAAUUGUGAUAGACUGUGGGAUUGACAAUAUUGAACCAUGUCUUGUUUGGCAUUAUCUGUGCUUAUGGCUUAACGUUAUGUUGAGUUGAAUGUACUACUUUGCUAAAAUAAGAUCAUUAAAGGUUAAAAUCAAUAAAAGUGAAUCUGUCUUCACAUAGAAUGUGAACUGUGACCAUUUGCUAUCCUAUAACUUGCAACUUGUUGGAUUCUUGAAUCUGGAUCUUCAAAAAUGAAUGAAGAACCUUUCUGUGUCCUGAUUGCCUUAUAUGAUCCUUGUGUUUGUUGCUUUGCAACAUAGAAUAGGAGCUUGAAAAUGAAAUACUGGAUCUAAUUUAUCUUGUUUAUGUGCUAAGCUGAGAAAAUAGGUUGUUGAACUACUAAAAAUAGGAUUUGUGAAUCUUUUGUGAAAACUGAUAAAAACCAGAACUUGCUUUUUUCUUAAAAACUUGACCCUACGCUUAGGUAGAGGCCUUCAUAUGCAUACUUAGUCUGAAAACUGGAUCUUGAUCAACUUGACACUUCAUAGAUAUUUUAGGACACUGUUUAGAGAUAUAACUUUUCAUUCAUUUGGAAUUCCACAACUUAAGUUGCUUUUGAUGUGGAAGGUAUAUUAUAUUGGGAUUUUGGAAACUUGUUUGGUUUAAAAAAAAAGAAAGUUUGGAAUUUUGUGUGUGUAUAUGUGCUUAACUGUGUAUGUGCUAGUUUCUGACUCUUACUUAAUUGCUUGUGCCUUAUUUAAGUCUUGGAACCUACAUUAUUAAGCAAAGAUGACUGAAAUUGAUAGAAAAAGGUUGAAACUUAGUAUUUGAACUGGAAAGGUAAACUGCAAAAUUUGAAAAAAUGGAAACUGCUUAUUUGUUUUGUUGAUUGGCUUGACAUUGUUGCAUUCCACCUAGUGUGAUCAACUAGCUUUGAAUCUCUUUGAGAGAUCAUGUAUUAUUGGACUACAUUUUAACUAGAUAAGAUCAUGCUACUAAGAAAACUUGCAAGAACACAAUAUAUCCCUGUUUCUUUCUUGAGUACUGAUAGAGCAUUCACCAUGAUUGAAGUUUAUUGUUAAUUUUCCUACAUGGUACUUGUCCAAAACUAUUUGAAAUUGCAACAUUGAUUCACUUGUGACCCUUAGGAGACUGUACAUGUUUGAAGUUUGAAAACAGCUUGGGAAUUUGCAGUUUUGAAAAUAAAAAGCUUUUGUGCCUGUUUUGUCUUUGAAUUUUCCUAAACUAAGGAGUUUGAAUUGAAGACCUUGCUUGUGAAUUACAUUUUUCUAACCUAUGUCUCUAUAUUAAAAGCUGGAAAUUUAAAAACCUUUGUUAAGUGAGAAAUUCUCUCAUUCUGGACUGUAUAGAUCAUGAACCUUAAGAGUUUAUUUGGCUUCAAAACUUGCUUGGUAUGCUAUAUUUGGGUGCUGAUUUUGCUUUGCUUAGACUCUAGAUCUUUGGCUAUCUGUUUUCACUAGAAUGUUACUUAAACUACUUGCCUAAAACUUGCUAUGUGAGAGGAAAGACUUGCCUAUGUUUGAAUCAUUGUUAAGUUCUGAGUAUUUUUUGGAAAUUUGAUGCAACUUCUGGGUAGUUUUGAGGAGUUGCUUGAAAGAGAAACACGAGAAUACAUACUAUACAAUAAGUGUAUGUGGAGGGUAUGCCCCACUAAGGGGUUUUGCUCUCCAUAUAUGGGUAUAUCACCUAGUAUAUCUGGUAUAUUGGGUCUUCUACACUUAGAAAAAUUCAGGCUUAUGUGACUGUUUGGGCCAGUUGGGCCUGGGCGAUCGAUUCAGUUGAGAUUCUUUAAAUUUUGUCCCUUUUGCAUAAAAUGACCCCUCCCCUUGAUAUUUAGAAAUUAUGGGCCUGGCCCAAUUGUCUUGUAAUUAAUUUUUGGCUAUGUAAUUAAAUUUAUGUCCCUAGAUUAAGUACUAAUAUGUUGUAUACCUCUUAUUUUUGUAAAAAUCCCUAUCCGUUGGCGGGUCCAACGAGGUCCACCAACUCCAUUUGGAUCGAGUCGACCUCAACCAUAGACGAGCUAAGCAUAGGAUCAAAGUUGGAGCGGAAUAAGUUAAAUUGCAUUAUUUUAUGUUGGGCUUGGUUGGCCCAACUCCUUACUUUA